GGGGGCCCGCACAAGCGGCGGAGCAUGCGGAUUAAUUCGAUGCAACGCGAAGAACCUUACCAAGGCUUGACAUGAACCGGAAAUACCUGGAAACAGGUGCCCCGCUUGCGGUCGGUUUACAGGUGGUGCAUGGUUGUCGUCAGCUCGUGUCGUGAGAUGUUGGGUUAAGUCCCGCAACGAGCGCAACCCUCGUUCUAUGUUGCCAGCGCGUUAUGGCGGGGACUCAUAGGAGACUGCCGGGGUCAACUCGGAGGAAGGUGGGGACGACGUCAAAUCAUCAUGCCCCUUAUGUCUUGGGCUUCACGCAUGCUACAAUGGCCGGUACAAAGGGUUGCGAUACUGUGAGGUGGAGCUAAUCCCAAAAAGCCGGUCUCAGUUCGGAUUGGGGUCUGCAACUCGACCCCAUGAAGUCGGAGUCGCUAGUAAUCACAGAUCAGCAACGCUGCGGUGAAUACGUUCCCGGGCCUUGUACACACCGCCCGUCAAGUCACGAAAGUUGGUAACACCCGAAGCCGGUGGCCUAACCCCUUGUGGGAGGGAGCUGUCGAAGGUGGGACUGGCGAUUGGGACUAAGUCGUAACAAGGUAACCGUAAGGGC
rnacentral:rRNA from 1 species